rnacentral:lncRNA from 1 species
GUUUUGUUCAUGGAUGGAUGCCAUAUUUCAUUGUUGAAGGGGGUACAAAAAUGAGGGAUGUCUUUUACUACUAUGAAGCUGACAUCACUUCCCUAAAUUUCUAUUCUUGAAGAUCUAUUCCUUAUAACCAUUUCUGUUACAAAAUAUAAAUUUAUUCAGGGUUUAGUGCAUAUAUGAAAAGACAUCUUAAAGAAAAAGAGACAUAAUGUUGAAAAUUAACUCAUUACAAAAGCAAAGGAAGGAAUAGAAGAAAAAGCUCUAGGCUAGGCUUCCUCUGUAGAGCUGAUCUGUCAGGAGAGUUACUCCUCACAGGAAUAGUAAGGUUAACAUCAGGUUUACUGAUUCAAGAACAUAUUGCUCUGGUUGCAAUCUGUUAAUCAGGAAGCCAAGAUUAGCACACCAAUGUAGAACAUUUCCGCAAAGCGGAAGCUCAUGGAAUGCAAGCUUUAUUUGGCACACCUAAGGAAACAACCAAAAGAGAAUGUUCUUCACAAGAUAGAAUAAAGCACAAAAUCAAGUAACGCAGAAUGCUACAGAGGAUAAAUAGGAAAAGAUUUCACAGGAUGAUGAUGAAGGGAGCUCCCAGGAUGGGACCUAUGUCCAGUAUGAUGGAGUCAUUAGAGGAGAGAGUAAGUGUGCUUGCUAAUUACAGGGUACAUAAAAGAGAAAAAAAAUGAUAAACUUUCUCAUGUUGGAUUUGUAGAAUCCAACAAAAGAAGAAUGAGCAGUUUAAGUAUAUUAUUAAGAAAUAGUUAAUUCUUAAAGGAAAAGCCAAAACAUUUCAAAGUGGGUGAUUAUUCAUAAAAGGUAUCAAGGAUGGAGAAGAACAGAAGAGCUGACUGUUUCACAGGUGAUCCAGUGAAGUUAUUGUAUAGUGUUUAUUUUAUAUAUAUAUAAUUUUUAUAUAUUGUCUAAAGUUUACAUUUAUAUAUAUAAUUAUAUAUAAUGUUUACACAUCAUUAUGUAUACAUAUAAAAAUUAUAUAAUGUUUAUAUAUUGUUUUCUAGUGUUUAUGUAAUAUAUAAAAUGUUAUAUGUAAUGUUAUAUAUGUAUAUAAAACUACAUAAAACAUUUAUUAAAUUUUAAAUUAAAGUAAAAACAAGUACAAAGGGGCAAAACAUCUGCCAAUUCUGGUUUAACUUUUCCUAUAAUAUUUUAGAAUAUUUUUUCCCCAAUCAGUCUGAGAAAUCAACUGAAAAAAGAAAAUUGUUUUAAGAUUAAUAUUGGGUGAUCUUAAUGUAAUAUACCUAAGAAAAUGUUUUAGACUUUUCUAUCCUUAAAGAAACAGACUAUUACAUCAUUUUCUCUUAAAAAUCAGAGGAGACUUUAAUGGUUCAUGUUAAUGGAACAUGGUUUUGCAUGGCAGUGGUUUAU